rnacentral:lncRNA from 1 species
GGCUAGGGGUCUAAUCAGAGCCACAGCUGCAGAUCUACUUCACAGCAAUGCAGGAUCCGAGCCGCAUCUGCAACCUACACCAUAGCUCACAGCAGUGCCAGAUCCUUAACCCACUGAGCAAGGCCAGGGAUUGAACCCGCAGCCUCAUGGUUUCUAGUCAGAUUCGUUUCUACUGCACCAUGAUGGGAACUCCUAAAAAGAAAUUUUUGAGAUGUGUUUCAAAUACAAUCCUAAGUGAAUAAUGUGAUAAUUACCUGUGUAUCUAUCAUCCAGCUUUUAAAAGAUCAUGGCAUUAUCCUUAUUUGCUUGGGGUUUGGGUAUUUGAACUUGAAAGAAAUAUUAAAAAGUUAUGCUUGAUUCUUCUACAUCUCCUCUUUGUCAUGAAAGCAAAGUUUAUCAGUUGAGUGUGUUUUGAUACAUUUACUAAUAUGUACGUAUCCACAAUUAUGAUAAAGUGUUGCCCUCAGAUUUUUAAGCUUUGUGUUAAUGAAUCAUGCCUUGCAUAUUGUUUUGAAACUUGCGGUUUCCUUGCCUUGACAUUGUUUAACAGGUUUCCAUGUUGAUAGAUGUGGAUCAAGUUCAGGGGUUCACAAGCUAUGUAUGGCCCAUGUGCCAAGUCUAGCCAGCCCCCUCUUUUUGUAAAUAAACUUUACUAUCUAUGGCUGCUUGUACACCAACGCAUCAGAGUUGAGUAGUUGUGAUAGAGACUGUAUGGCCUGGAAAGCCUAGAAUAUUUACUGCCUGGCUCAUUACAGAAAAAGUUUGCUGACUUCUGAUCUAGCCCAUCCUUUGUGUGGCUAUAUCAUUAUUUAUCCAUUUUCCUGCCCAUGGACACUUAGUUCCUGUUUAUUUGUAAGAAGUGAUGUUUUGGUGAACAUUGGUUUGUGUGUAUAGAUAUAGAUAUCUCCUUACCAUGUGAGUUGAGAGGGUUUCUAGGGUAGCCUAUUGCUCAUGAAGCAGUUAAGCUUUUUAAUAUAUUUUGAUGUGUGUUUCAUUCUUAGCAAAAAAAAAAAAAAAAAAAAAAAAUUCCGGAGUUCCCGUCGUGGCGCAGUGUUGGAUUCGCUUCUGCUGCGCCAUGACAGGAACUCCCUUAUUUAGCAUUUUGAGAUAGAGAUUUUUAUUCUUGAUUUAAUGGUUUUUCUCAGAAUGGAUUUUUAUUGCUGGAGGAGGGGAAAGUGCAGAGUGGUCCACACGGAGCAAAGCAUGAGUUACAAAUGGUCCUGGCAGCCACAGGGGAGAACGGACUGUAUACAGUUACCUGUAUUUAGGCCACCAUCAUGUCGUUGUUGUUACUAUUAAUAGAUGCUACAUAAUUACUGAACAUUUACUAAAGGAUAGGGAGAGCAGUAAACACUUCAUAUGCAUUAUCCUGUUUAAUCCUCCUAACAACCUGUUGAGGUAGUAGUUACUGCUUCUCAUUUUGAGAUGAGGCAGCUGAGGUCCAGAAUUUAGGCCAAGGCCUUGUUAAAGUGAGGCUUCAGUUUCUGACCUCUCCACCUGCACUGGCCUGGUGCCCCAUAUCCAGGGACACAGUUCUCCAUGGUAGACCUUUGGAGUUGGGUUUGAAGGUACUUUUUGAGAAUCCACACUGCCCUGAAGCCCAAGUCCUCAUUAGUUCCAGCCUUGGCUCCUCUAAACUGGUCAAGGCUUCACACACAAAGGAGAAGUCUUGGUUUUUCCAGAAAGAUCCAAGUUUGUAACUUCGCUAAAAGAGUAAUUCUUCUGCAGGGCUCUUUUGUAAGAAACUGAAGCCAGGGCCAUCUUUUCACAUUUUUUCCCCUGCCCUCCUACCUCAAAACUCCAGUUUCUCAAGUGAGAGCUAUACUCCUUCACAGAGACUGGGUGCUCAAGCCUAUGUAAGGGAUCCUAAUGUCAGGCUCAAGGUUCGUCCUGAACCCCUGGGCAGCUGCCCAUUCACUUCCAAAGACUUGAAUCUAUAAAUGUCUUUUUCCCUUUUCAGUUUGUGGCAGAUGCGGGCAGGACAUAAGAAAUCCGGAGAGGCUUUCCACUCUCAUUUUUUAAAAAUCAUCUGUCUUAAAGUCUCUAAAUUACUGGCUCAAACUCCACGGGUAUUAUCUCUCUUGCUGCUGUUAUGUAUGGCUGUGAACUUGUCUCUUAUGGCUCUAAGUUCCUAACCGCUUUAAGCAAGAUAGAAACCAAGGCAUUAAAAACUGCUGGAAGUGCAAGUUUUUUCUUUGCUUUAAAAAAAUAAAGCUGAAAUCAGUGGGAAUCAUCAGGCCAUUUCCUAUGGAGCUGACACUAGCUUAAAUACAGUUAUCUAAUCCACAAAUGGACACACAGAUAAAGCUCACUUGCACAAUUGCCAAGUAAAAGUUUGUCAGCUAGAGUGAUCUUGCUUCCUCCCUUGCUUUCAGGCAAUAAUCUGACCAGUUAUUUAUAUUCCCUAUGGAUGACAAGAAGAAUUCUUGUUUCUAUCAGGGUAAUUAAUUAUCUUAACUCUGAUGAAAAGAAUUGAAGACUUUGGAGUGCAGUAGAGAAGGGCUAGUUUUAACAAGGAAGUCCCUCCCAGGCUGCUAAAAUCACAUCCUAUAGAUGGGCCUCUUUUUCUGUUUGGAAGACCAGCCAUACACAAACAACAGUGAUAAAUAAUUCAUCCUAUAUUACAAAGAUCAUUAACAUACAUUUUUUUGUAAACUGUAUUGGUUAAUGCACAUGUCUUCUACUUCUACCAGCAUCCAAACUGGGAAACCAUUCUCCUGGUCCCAGAUUCAUUGGGUGGCAGGAGGAAGUGACAUGAACCUUGGGGCCUGUUGACUUUGGGCCUGGCUUCAAGGGACCUGUCUUAAAUCUAGUGUUCAUGUGUAACUGUGGCAACGUUUUUCUGACAUAGCUCUGGGGCCCCUGAUUUCCCUCUCCAUCAGGUCCCCACAAUUGUAAAGUUUUACUUAUUAAUAAGGAUUUGGGUUUAAAAAAAAUUUUUUUUGUUAUAGUUGACUCCCAAUGUUCUGUCAAUUUCUGCUGAACAGCAAAGUGACCCAGUUAUACAUAUAUAUAUAUUAUUUUUCUCAUAUUAUCUUCUAUCAUGUUCUAUCUCAAGAGAUUGGAUAUAGUUCCUUGUGCUACACAGCAGGACCUCAUUGCUUAUCCAUUCUAAAUGUAAUAGUUUGCAUCUACCUAUCCCAAACUCCCCGUCCAUCCCACUCCCUCCCCUGGAGGAUUUUUUUUUUUUAAUUUCUUUGUAGAUGAGGGUCACUGGUCAGGGAGACAGGAGAAGCUACAUUCAGGUUAAGUUGAACUUGAGCAGAAUGUGCAAAGUUAUGUUGUCUUUUGUAUGUGAGGUAGCUCCCCCCAAUACUUCUCCACCAGCAAUUAGUGAAUGAGGUUUUCUUCCCGCUUAUCCCUACCUCCCCCAAUCUCCUUUCCUCAUCUAUGUAUUUAUUACAUUCACUUGCCUAAGUUAUAAAUGCUGGAUUUUUGCUUGGCCUCACCUUCACUCUUAUCCCACGAAUCACCAUGCUCUGUUGAUUCUAAUUCUCAGAUAGCUCGCACAUCCCUUUCCUUCUCUCCAUCUCACCGCUGCUGUCUUUUCUCUCAUUUCUCUCACCGUUAUAGCAUUUUCCUAAGUGUUUUCUCUGCCUCCAGCCUCCCAUCUCUUCUCUUGAAGCGCUUGUUCUAAAACAAAACAAUCUGAUAAAAGCUGGUCGUUCUUUCAUGUUUCCUGCUAAACUAAGGGGUGUGUGUGUGUGUGGUGCACUGAUACUGCUUAUAUGGUAAUCACUGAUCUGCCUACCUGUCAGCCUUCCCUAUUUAUUCGUGGCUUUUGCUCAAGGAAUUUUCUAGAAAUCCUGAGUGCCUGUUCUAUGUCAGUUUCCGGUAUUUAACGGUGGACAGAAUAAACAAGAUGCUCUGUUAGGAGAGGAAGGAAAUAGACAAUAAAAAGAGAACAAAUAUGACACUUUCAAUGAUGAAUUAUCUGAAGAACAGAGUUCAUGGGAUGGCGGUGUAGAGGCUUACUUGAUAAAGUGACCACAGAAAGCCUCCCCGAGCAGGUGACAUUGGAGCUGAGACUGGAAGAAAAAGGAGGAUCCAUAACUUUGAAUUUGGAUGAUGCAGAAUUCAGGGAUUUUUUUACUCUUUGUUGACUGUUGUCACUCAGAUCAUUCCAGUUAUAUGUGCUCAAGUAGAUAACUUAGAAGCCAAUCCAAUUUACUGCUUUGGAUUACUGGCGUGCGGGCAUGUGCGCACGUGCAAACACACACACACACACACACACACACAUCCACACACACACCCACCCCACACACACCCCAACUGACAGCAGCACCAGAUUUGCCUUCCUAAUUAUUCUUUUAGUGUGAAAAAACGUGAACCUGGUUUUUUGGGUUAUUUUUAAAGAGAGUUAUAUAACCUGUGGAGUAGAAAUAGAAAAAGACUGUCUUGGUACAUUAACACAUGGGUGAUUAAGAGAUGGCCAUGAAAUAAAGUGCUCUUGUGUUAAAUAUAAUUGUGAUGGGAAUGAGCAGAUGAAAUUAGGGUGGGCCGUUUUGCCAUUUCCUGAAACUGGCAUGAUCCUCUUUCUCUUCUUCCUUACACCUAACCUUGAAAAUUUCUCACUCAUUUCCUUCAUCCAAACUGAUGUGGCUUCAUGGCUUAUUCACACAUAUAAUCAUUAUCUUUACUUCUAUGGUGAUAUCACUACCAAUUUUUAAAAAUACAGUACCCUGCUUUAUAAUGACAAUAAAUUUUUUUGCCAUGAAAGAUAAUUGUCAACGAAAAAUUUUCUGUGGCUGCUAAAUAUCAGUUGUAGAAUAAGCCAACAGCUAGACUUGGGUACACAAUCUUAAGUCUCUCAAAUCCACCUGCUAUGUUUGCCCUCUGCAAAUGCCUAGACUUGCGGUUAUUCUAAACCCAUUGUCAAUUGGACCUCCUUUGCAUAUUGAUUUUUUGACACCGCCAGCUCUAGAUUGAAUCUGUUGUGUGACACCAAUCAAACAGGUUUGAAAUUAUGAACCUAAGCACUCCUACCAGAAAAGCCCUGAAGAGCAAGACAUAAUCUCAUCACUUCCAGUUAGCCUGUGAUCUUUGUCAUUGUGUCUUUAUAUCUGUGCAAUUGCAAUCAUCUUAAACACAUGAGUUCUGCUUUUUCCAGUUAAUGUUAUUCAGAUAUGGACUUGCAUAUAGUGAAAUUGUGUGUAUUGCUUUGUGUUUGAAAAAUGAAGCCCUUAUGUUGUGAGAGAAACAUAAAGGACUAUGAAAAUACUUAUGUACAGUUCAAAGUGUAAUUGGAAAGCAGACUCAUUGUAGUUGGCCCUCCAGACCAAGAAAUAGAACCUUGUCAGUGCCUCCAGAGGCCAGUCCUGAAUGACCCUCUUUAUCAUGUCUUCCUCUGUCCCCUUCCCCUCCGUAGGGAAACUCUAUACUCAUGUAUUUACCAUCUAUCUUCUCUUUCUUUUGUUUUUAAAUAUUAUGUAAAUUGAAUAAUACUCUAUGUAUUCUGUGACUUCUUUCACUUAAUGUGUGAAAUCUAUCCAUGUUGCUGCUUGAGGUUACAUUUGUUCUUUUCCAUAGCUAUAUAGUAUUUCAUUGUAUGACUAUACCACAAACUAUCCACUGGGUUAUUGGACAUCUGGAUAGUCCCCACUUUGCUUUUAUGAAUAAUAUGGCUAUGAACGUUCUUUUGUUUCCUAUUGAGCAUUUGUGAAGCUGUAGGUCCAUCUUUAACUUGAAAGAUAUUGCUACCUUUUAAAAAAUGUAGGUAACGUUGGUUUAUAACAUUAUGUAAGUUUAAUUAUAUCUGUUUCAUUAUAUAACUUUUUUUUCUUUUUAUAGCUGCUCCUUCAGCAUAUGAAAGUUCCCAGGCCAGGGGUUGAAUUGGAACUGCAGCCAAGUCCUAUGCCACAGCCACAGCAACACCGGAUCCAAGCCACAUCUACAACCUACAUCAUAGCUUGCGGCAACACCAGAUCCACAACCUACUGAGUGAGGCCAGGACUCAAACCUGUAUCCUAACGGAGACUGUAUUGGGUCCUUAACCUGCUGAGCCACAAUGGAAACUUCCUCAUCAUAUAGCUUUUUAAAAUUGAGGUAACAUGGGUUGGUAACAUUAUACAUUUCAUUAUAUAAGUUCCAUAUGUAUAAACUUAUAUUUCAACUUCAGUAUAUACUACAGUUUACUCACCACUGAAAGCUUAGUUUCCACCCAUUACCAUACAGUUGAGCCCCUCCCAUUUCAGUCUCCCAUCACCUCCCUUCCCCUCUGGUUUGUACUCAUAUGUGGAGUAUUAAAAAAAAUAAGACAUGGUGCAGUGGGUUAAAAAUCCAACUGCAGGAGUUCCCGUCGUGGUGCAGUGGUUAACGAAUCCAACUAGGAACCAUGAGGUUGCAGGUUUGAUCCCUAGCCUUGCUCAGUGGGUUAAGGAUCAGGCAUUGCCUUGAGCUGUGGUGUAGGUCACAGACGUGGCUUGGAUCCCACGUUGCUGUGGCUCUGGCGUAGGGCAGCGGCAACAGCUCCGAUUAGAUCCCUAGCCUGGGAACCUCUAUAUGCCACGGGAAGCAGCCCUAGAAAAAGGCAAAAUGAUAAAAAAAAAAA